ACCUGGCUGGCUCCACUGGUAGAGCAUGUGACUCUUGAUCUUGUGGUUUUGAGUUCAAACCCCAUGCUGGGUG
rnacentral:tRNA from 1 species